CCUACGGGAGGCAGCAGUGGGGGAUAUUGCACAAUGGGGGAAACCCUGAUGCAGCGACGCCGCGUGGGCGAAGAAGUAUUUCGGUAUGGAAAGCCCUAUCAGCAGGGAAGAAGAAAUGACGGUACCUGAGUAAGAAGCACCGGCUAAAUACGUGCCAGCAGCCGCGGUAAUACGUAUGGUGCAAGCGUUAUCCGGAUUUACUGGGUGGAAAGGGAGCGCAGGCGGCACGGCAAGCCUGAUGUGAAAGCCCGCGGGCCAACCGCGGUACUGCAUUGGGAACUACCGGGCUGGAGUGCCGGAGAGGUAGGCGGAAUUCCUAGUGUAGCGGUGAAAUGCGUAGAUAUUAGGAGGAACACCAGUGGCGAAGGCGGCCUACUGGACGGUGACUGACGCUGAGGCUCGAAAGCGUGGGGAGCAAACAGGAUUAGAUACCCUAGUAGUC
rnacentral:rRNA from 1 species